rnacentral:rRNA from 1 species
GAGUGCCUACGGGGGGGCAGCAGUGGGGAAUAUUGCACAAUGGGGGAAACCCUGAUGCAGCAACGCCGCGUGAGUGAAGAAGGAUUUCGGUAUGUAAAGCUCUAUCAGCAGGGAAGAAGAUGACGGUACCUGAAUAAGAAGCCCCGGCUAACUACGUGCCAGCAGCCGCGGUAAUACGUAGGGGGCAAGCGUUAUCCGGAUUUACUGGGUGUAAAGGGAGCGCAGACGGCAGUGCAAGUCUGGAGUGAAAGCCCGG